rnacentral:rRNA from 1 species
ACUCCUACGGGAGGCAGCAGUGGGGAAUUUUGGACAAUGGGGGCAACCCUGAUCCAGCAAUGCCGCGUGAGUGAAGAAGGCCUUCGGGUUGUAAAGCUCUUUUGUCAGGGAAGAAACGGUGGUGGCGAAUAACUACUACUAAUGACGGUACCUGAAGAAUAAGCACCGGCUAACUACGUGCCAGCAGCCGCGGUAAUACGUAGGGUGCAAGCGUUAAUCGGAAUUACUGGGCGUAAAGCGUGCGCAGGCGGUUGUGUAAGUCAGAUGUGAAAUCCCCGGGCUCAACCUGGGAAUUGCAUUUGAGACUGCACGGCUAGAGUGUGUCAGAGGGGGGUAGAAUUCCACGUGUAGCAGUGAAAUGCGUAGAUAUGUGGAGGAAUACCGAUGGCGAAGGCAGCCCCCUGGGAUAACACUGACGCUCAUGCACGAAAGCGUGGGGAGCAAACAGGAUUAGAUACCCGGGUAGUCCCAUGA